rnacentral:lncRNA from 1 species
UUUAUUUCCAAAACACCCAUGAACACCACGCACAUGGCCUUCUCCCGGGACACAUCACACCAACCGGAAAUCCUCCUCCGGAAAUCCCUCCUACAGCACUUCCCCAACCAAUGGGAACUCUCCGGGAAUCCCCGAGAGCUCCAAAGUAUCAGGCCAAGGCAGACAGCAGGGGUCUAAUAUCCAAUUGAAUACACAUCUUAACAUAACCAUUAUCAUCUCAAUGGCUUGCUGGUGUCACCUUUCAACCAAAAGUGCCAUGCGUCAUUCCUACUUGGCUAUGGCUCUCAGCAUCUCCCCCCUUCUGUUUAAUUAAGCACCAAGCAUGUUGCUUAGGGACCAUGCCUGGGAGGCUCUCCAAUACUACAUGUGGCCCUUACUCAUCAUCGGAUGAGCUGACCUCAAGUCGUCAGCCUCCUGUCUUAGGUUGGUACCACUGCAAUUGGAUCAUACCCAUCACUGACUACCGGUCCAGCAUACAGCUAUACUUGUGGAUAGGCCUAUGCACCAGUGGGAGGGUGAGGUUCUUUGCCUCACCUCUGUUGGACCCCAAAUUUGGCCUUUUCACCAGUGGGGGGGGGUGAGGUUCUUUGCCUCACCUCUGUUGGCCCCCAAAUUUUAGACCAUCACUAGCAGAAGGGAGGAGGAUACAGAAAUGCCAUGACACUAAGGCAAUUGAAGGCUCCUUUGAAAAACUGUACCACUGGUGACACCAUCAGCAAAGAUACUCCAGCAUUACCACAAUUCGCUGCACCAACAGAUAGUUCACAAUGUAUACAAGUGAUACAUAGUCCAGGCAAGUUCUGCAAGCAGUUCAAAGAGGAGAAAUCUAUCAAUAUGUCCAUUUCCUCCCAAAGUAAAUUGACUCCUUGAUUGAGCAUUACUUGUUGAGUUAUUAUUCAUUGAUGCAUCAGUUUAUACAGUUUACUGUGAUAGCUAUCGAAGAAGCUGUAGUUUGGUUUUAUCUUUGUCUUUACUGGCACUGGAAUGAAGAUAGGAAUUCUGGCAAUGAUGGCUAAAAAAAAUAUGUAACUUUCCAACAGGUACUAAAAAAAAAAACAAUUUUCUGAACAAUUUAUAUUAUCCUGAACAGAAUUAUUAAAUAUAAUGAAAAGGAAAGGUGAAAGUAAACAAACAGAUCUGUUAAUCUCCUUAUUUGUUCACAUUUAAAACAAUCCUCAACAGCUGUUUACCCAAUUUAAAUUAAAUCAUUUGAAUCACGUGAAUAAUAAAAAUAUUUGGAUACAUUUUUUCAUGAGCGCUCCUCAUAUAUGAUAUAUGGACAUACGCACAUACAGACAUGAAGUGUGCACACAUAACAUACAACACAUAAGACAAUAGUAAAGGCCUUGUAGCUUUACACAGGUGAAAUCUCCAUUACAAUGUUUAAAAACUCCACAGUCAAAAAAUAAAACUGAUCAGAAAAACAUUAACCUAGGUCUUAAUGAGCUCAAAAAAUAAAAUAGAACUUAUGAUGUGGGAAAAGGCAAUAAUAAAAUAGAUAUUGAAAUAGCCAUCCUGGUUACCACCUGGGUUUGACUCUUUUUUGGAUAUCCCAUCCUUUUUCCUGUAACUUACAUAAUGGGUCUGAAGGUAUUCCCACAAGCAAGCCCCAAGGUUUUUCACAUUUGAAAUAGGCUUUAAUGGUGUUCAUUAUUCAUUAGCCUCCAGGUGUGGGGGAACCACUGUUGCAGAUCAAGAAUAGCCAAGCUGGAGCUCUGUAUAUCAGCUGUUAUGGAUUUGAGUCAAAUCAUCUUCUUUUUGGUCUGUAGAAAUCGCUUUGGUUAGUCUCUCUGGAAUCCAAAUCAGCUGUUCU